CAGCAGCCGCGGUAAUACGGAGGGGGCUAGCGUUGUUCGGAAUUGCUGGGCGUAAAGCGUACGUAGGCGGCUUUGUAAGUUAGAGGUGAAAGCCUGGUGCUCAACACCAGAACUGCCUUUAAGACUGCAUCGCCUGAACGUCGGAGAGGUGAGUGGAAUUCCGAGUGUAGAGGUGAAAUUCGUAGAUAUUCGGAAGAACACCAGUGGCGAAGGCGGCUCACUGGACGACUGUUGACACUGAGGUACGAAAGCGUGGGGAGCAAACAGGAUUAGAUACCCCCGUAGUCCCUGUCUCUUAUAC
rnacentral:rRNA from 1 species